GACGAGGGAUCCUAGCGUUGCUCGGAAUCAUUGGGCGUAAAGAGGGCGUAGGUGGCUUGGUAAGUCGGGUGUGAAAGCCCAGGGCUCAACCCUGGAAGUGCAUUCGAUACUGCUGAGCUUGAUUGUUGGAGAGGUUACUGGAAUACCUGGUGUAGUGGUGAAAUACGUAGAUAUCAGGUGGAACACCGGAGGCGAAGGCGGGUAACUGGCCAAACAAUGACACUGAGUCCCGAAAGCGUGGGGAUCAAACAGG
rnacentral:rRNA from 1 species